rnacentral:rRNA from 1 species
ACGGGUGAGUAAUGCCUAGGAAUCUGCCUGGUAGUGGGGGAUAACGUUCGGAAACGGACGCUAAUACCGCAUACGUCCUACGGGAGAAAGCAGGGGACCUUCGGGCCUUGCGCUAUCAGAUGAGCCUAGGUCGGAUUAGCUAGUUGGUGGGGUAAUGGCUCACCAAGGCGACGAUCCGUAACUGGUCUGAGAGGAUGAUCAGUCACACUGGAACUGAGACACGGUCCAGACUCCUACGGGAGGCAGCAGUGGGGAAUAUUGGACAAUGGGCGAAAGCCUGAUCCAGCCAUGCCGCGUGUGUGAAGAAGGUCUUCGGAUUGUAAAGCACUUUAAGUUGGGAGGAAGGGUUGUAGAUUAAUACUCUGCAAUUUUGACGUUACCGACAGAAUAAGCACCGGCUAACUCUGUGCCAGCAGCCGCGGUAAUACAGAGGGUGCAAGCGUUAAUCGGAAUUACUGGGCGUAAAGCGCGCGUAGGUGGUUUGUUAAGUUGGAUGUGAAAUCCCCGGGCUCAACCUGGGAACUGCAUUCAAAACUGACUGACUAGAGUAUGGUAGAGGGUGGUGGAAUUUCCUGUGU